GACGGAGGAUGCAAGUGUUAUCCGGAAUCACUGGGCGUAAAGCGUCUGUAGGUGGUUCGAAAAGUCCACUGUUAAAAAUUGAGGCUUAACUUCAAAGAUGCCGUGGAAAAUUUCAAACUAGAGUAUGGUAGGGGUAGAGGGAAUUUCCAGUGGAGCGGUGAAAUGCGUAGAUAUUGGAAAGACCACCGAUGGCGAAGGCACUCUACUGGGCCAUUACUGACACUGAGAGACGAAAGCUAGGGGAGCAAAUGGG
rnacentral:rRNA from 1 species